rnacentral:rRNA from 1 species
CCUACGGGAGGCAGUAGUGGGGAAUAUUGCACAAUGGGGGCAACCCUGAUGCAGCAACGCCGCGUGAAUGAAGACGGUUUUCGGGUUGUAAACUUCUGUUCUUGGUGACGAAUUAUGACGGUAGCUAAAGAGCAAGCCACGGCUAACUACGUGCCAGCAGCCGCGGUAAUACGUAGGGAGCAAGCGUUAUCCGGAAUUACUGGGUGUAAAGGGCGCGCAGGCGGGAAGGCAAGGCAGCUGUGAAAACUGCGGGCUUAACCUUUAGACUGCAGGUGGAACUGGGUUUCUUGAGUGAAGGAGAGGCUGGCGGAAUUCCCAGUGGAGAGGUGAAAGGCGUAGAUAGUGGGAGGAACAACAGUGGCGAAGGCGG